rnacentral:tRNA from 1 species
ACCCGGGUGGCUCACUUGGUUAAGCAUCUGACUUUGGCUCAGGUCAUGAUCCCGGAGUCCUGGGAUCAAGCCCCAGCUCUGGCU